rnacentral:sRNA from 1 species
AUGAGAACUCAAGGUGAAUCCCGUUCAUAGCAGGGACACGGCCUCUAACAGUCUUCUCAGGAUUCCCGUGUGAGUUACUUGCCCUGCUUGUGUUCAGAUCUAAAAUGAAUAAUCUGAGAUCCAGGGGCAGCCGGGGGCAGUUCCCCCUGUGCUCCCUAUCUAAGCCCUCAGCAGAGACCUCUGGGUCCGCUUGCCUCUCCUUAGACAUGGGCUUCUGUUUCUGCCCAGGGUCUCAAGGUAGUCUGAGGCAAGGACCAGAGCUUCAGUCGCACCUGUGUUCAUUCAGGUUCUCGUUAUAAGGGUCACCAGCUGAUGCUGGAGAAGCCACUACCGUAGCAGAGGCUCUUCUUGGGAAUAGACAGGAGGCGAAGGCCCCGGUCUGUUAGUCUGGGGGUGUUGGAAAGAGUCUCUUGCCUUGCAGCAUGUCGGUGCCCCAGGCCAUGGAGUGGCUAAUUGAACACGCAGAAGACCCGACCAUAGACACGCCUCUUCCAGGCCAAGCUCCCCCAGGGGCCGAGGGGGCCACAGCAGCCGCCUCCGAGGCUGCCGCAGGGGCCAGCACCACCGAUGAGGAGGCCAGAGAUGAGCUAACGGAAAUCUUCAAGAAGAUCCGGAGGAAAAGGGAGUUUCGGGCUGAUGCUCGGGCCGUCAUUUCCCUGAUGGAGAUGGGGUUCGACGAGAAGGAGGUGAUAGACGCCCUCAGAGUGAACAACAACCAGCAGAAUGCCGCGUGUGAGUGGCUGCUGGGGGAC